UACGUAGGGGGCAAGCGUUGUCCGGAUUUAUUGGGCGUAAAGAGCGUGUAGGCGGCUUCACAGGUCUGCUGUGAAAACUCGAGGCUCAACCUCGAGCUGUCGGUGGAAACCGUGGGGCUAGAGUCCGGAAGAGGAGAGUGGAAUUCCCGGUGUAGCGGUGAAAUGCGUAGAUAUUGCUCGGAAGGCCAACGGCGAAGGCAGGUUACUGGUGCGCAACUGACACUGAGGCACGAAAGCGUGGGGAGCAAACAGG
rnacentral:rRNA from 1 species